AUGCGCAGGAUGUUGAGAUGCAAAAUGGUAUACUCACCUGACAAGCUCGAGCUGGAGGCCAUGCCCAUCUUUUGUGCGACGGUGGGACAUGCCACCGAAGUCCGUGGUGACGCCGUAGAUGUCACCGCCGUUUGCCACCGAGUCGACGAUCCAGUCGCUGCAGACCUGGACGCGGACGCGCGCCUCGUCGGCGAGCUCCACGGUGACGCUGGCCACGUCCUUGGCGUGUGCAACGGCAGCCACCUGGCCGACGCUGAGGCCGGCCCCCAGGAUCCUGACGACAGGCUCACGGAAUCGCGCCACCAUGCGCUUGACCUCGUCGAGGUGGCUGCCGGUGAGCUCGGCCGCUGCGACACUCCACAAAUGCGCCAUUUCUUGUUGCUAGUGGAUGAGGGUGAUGGUUCGGUUGAGGGUAGUGGAUGA
rnacentral:rRNA from 1 species